rnacentral:rRNA from 1 species
UACGGAGGGUGCAAGCGUUAUCCGGAUUCACUGGGUUUAAAGGGUGCGUAGGUGGAGUGGUAAGUCAGUGGUGAAAUCUCCAAGCUUAACUUGGAAACUGCCGUUGAUACUAUCAUUCUUGGAUAUCGUGGAGGUAAGCGGAAUAUGUCAUGUAGCGGUGAAAUGCUUAGAUAUGACAUAGAACACCGAUUGCGAAGGCAGCUUGCUACACGAUCAUUGACACUGAGGCACGAAAGCGUGGGGAUCAAACAGG